rnacentral:rRNA from 1 species
UACGGAGGGUGCAAGCGUUGUCCGGAUUCAUUGGGUUUAAAGGGUGCGCAGGCGGGAAAUUAAGUCAGGGGUGAAAGACGGUUGCUCAACAAUCGCAGUGCCUUUGAUACUGGUUUUCUUGGGUGGCCUUGAGGUAGGCGGAAUGGGUGGUGUAGCGGUGAAAUGCAUAGAUACCACCCAGAACUCCGAUUGCGAAGGCAGCCUACUGGAGGUUCACCGACGCUCAGGCACGAAAGCGUGGGGAGCAAACAGG